UACGUAGGGUGCGAGCGUUAAUCGGAAUUACUGGGCGUAAAGCGUGCGCAGGCGGUUCGUUAUGUCCGAUGUGAAAGCCCCGAGCUCAACUUGGGAAUGGCAUUGGAAACUGGCGGGCUGGAGUGUGGCAGAGGGGGGUGGAAUUCCACGUGUAGCAGUGAAAUGCGUAGAGAUGUGGAGGAACACCGAUGGCGAAGGCAGCCCCCUGGGCCAACACUGACGCUCAGGCACGAAAGCGUGGGGAGCAAACAGG
rnacentral:rRNA from 1 species